rnacentral:tRNA from 2 species
GCUUCUGUGGCGCAGUGGUUUAGCGCAUCGUGCUUAUAACGCGAUGGUCGUGGGUUCGAACCCCUCCAGAAGCA